UCCUACGGGAGGCAGCAGUGAGGAAUAUUGCGCAAUGGGCGGAAGCCUGACGUAGCGACGCCACGUGGGGGAUGAAGGCCUUCGGGUUGUAAACCGCUUUUACCACUCACGAAGGCCCCUGGUUUCCCGGGGGUUGACGGUAGGUGGUGAAUAAGGACCGGCUAACUACGUGCCAGCAGCCGCGGUAAUACGUAGGGUCCGAGCGUUGUCCGGAAUUAUUGGACGUAAAGAGCUGGUAGGCGGCCUGUCGCGUCUGCUGUGGAAGUCCGGGGCUUAACUCCGGGUGUGCAGUGGAUACGGGCAGGCUUGAGGUAGGCAGGGGAGACUGGAAUUCCUGGUGUAGCGGUGAAAUGCGCAGA
rnacentral:rRNA from 1 species